ACUGACAAUAUGCAACGCUGAAAAAAACCAUGAGUAUAAUGAGACGUGUGACGACGACGACACCCAUUAUGCAAAUAUUGCUUAUCUGACUGAUUUAAUGAUAUUUGAGGAGAAAUCUCAGAAAUUGGCAGUGUAAUGAAUUUGAGGAACAAAUCUCCAAAAUGUGAUACGGUGCUCGGUCAACCAUAAACCUACAUCAAGCAAAGAGAUAAGAUAUUAAUAAUGAGACCAUUUUAGUUCACGCAACAUUCUCAAUUUUGUGUAUUUCUUUUAUUUCGUCCAUCGUUGUAUGUAAAAGUUAUAAAAUACAUGUUGGACACCUAAAUAUUUUCGUUCUUAUUAAAUAACAUGUUUUCGAAUCGUACUUAAAUGUAGAAAUCGGUUAUAUGAGUCGCUGUCGUUGUAGAAUUCGUGUAAUGAGCUAUGUAGAAGAAGUACUUAUUUAAUAUCUGUUGUUAAGAUCAAAAUUUAUAAGUAUAUAAACCUUAAUCUAGUUCAAAUCUUGUAUAAAUAACGCAUUUACUAAAUCUACAAAAUAUUUCCCCUACUAAAUAUGACUGUCUAAUCAAAAUAGUGAGUGAGUAUCUUCCCCACUCUUUACUUUAAUAAUAUUGAUACAAUUUGAUAAGCAUCUGCUCAUUUAUGUAUGCUCGUUCUAAUGACAAUGUGGCAUUUGUUAUCACACAGAUCUAAAAAUAAUUAGUUAACAGUAAAAUUGCUUAUCAAUUUCAGAA